AACGAACGCUGGCGGCAGGCCUAACACAUGCAAGUCGAGCGCGCCCUUCGGGGUGAGCGGCGGACGGGUUAGUAACGCGUGGGAAUAUGCCCAGAUCUGCGGAAUAGCCUCUGGAAACGGAGAGUAAUACCGCAUACGCCCUUCGGGGGAAAGAUUUAUCGGAUUUGGAUUAGCCCGCGUUGGAUUAGGUAGUUGGUGGGGUAAUGGCCUACCAAGCCGACGAUCCAUAGCUGGUUUGAGAGGAUGAUCAGCAACACUGGGACUGAGACACGGCCCAGACUCCUACGGGAGGCAGCAGUGGGGAAUAUUGGACAAUGGGGGCAACCCUGAUCUAGCCAUGCCGCGUGAGUGACGAAGGCCCUAGGGUCGUAAAGCUCUUUCAGCUGUGAAGAUAAUGACGGUAGCAGCAGAAGAAACCCCGGCUAACUCCGUG
rnacentral:rRNA from 1 species